rnacentral:lncRNA from 1 species
AGUGCUUUCCUGCGGACGUGCGCUGCUGCCCAGCCUCAGGCUCCAGUCCUGCGCUGGCUGCUGCUGGCUGUCGUCAGCGAUGCCGCCGCCGGCCACAAGGUGGCAGUGCCGUGCUGCGUGGCUACACGCCCCUGGAAGCACCGGACCAGCCUUGGUCUGGCAAAAGUUUUCCAGUCUUUCCAGCAGAUGCGCCCAGGCCGUGAGCCCUCCCGGGCGGCCUGGAGGACUCCCGAAAGAAGCCUGGUGUAACUGAGUCUGGAAUUUUUGCUGGGCUUGCUAGGUCUACACUCUCCCACCUGUGCUCCGAGGAGAGGUGUAGACUAUCUCUUGGAUUUUGCUUGGAGGAUGUCCUUUCCGGACUCAGGACCUAGGAGAGACCAGCAGGAAACAGAACAGAGUCUACAUAGGUGAAUAUCAAAGAAUCACCUGGAGAGAUUUACAGAUGUUUGUAGCUGGAGCCUACUCACCUACAGAGACCUCCUACAGAGGGGCUCUGCCCUGGCCUUUUGGGAUUCAGAGCUGAGGCGGGACACAGAGUUCGACAAAGCCAGAAGACUGAUAAUCUCAGACCUAACUGUACUGGGAGCUGGGAGCUGGGAGCUGUUGGCUUCAGGAAACUUAACCCUCUCUUGUUUAUUCUAUGGCCGAAAACUGCUGACUUCUUUUCGCUUUAACUCUGUGCUCUGGAGAAACUUAACUCUUUGUGCUUAAAUAAGCACUGGGGGUCACUUAACUCUUUGUUACUAUUCUGUGCUUUAAUAAACGCUGAGCAUUCUUCAA